rnacentral:rRNA from 1 species
AGCGUAUAUUAAAGUUGUUGCAGUUAAAAAGCUCGUAGUUGAAUUUCGGGGUUAGUAGGUUGGUCAUGCCUCUGGUAUGUACUAAUCUCACUGAUUCCUCCCUCUUGACGAACUGUAAUGUCAUUAAUUUGGUGUUGCAGGAAAUCAGGACUGUUACUUUGAAAAAAUUAGAGUGUUUAAAGCAGGCUUAGGCUUGAAUACAUUAGCAUGGAAUAAUGAAAUAGGACGUUUGAACCUAUUUUGUUGGUUUCUAGGAUCGACGUAAUGAUUAAUAGGGAUAGUUGGGGGCAUUAGUAUUCAAUUGUCAGAGGUGAAAUUCUUGGAUUUAUUGAAGACUAACUACUGCGAAAGCAUUUGCCAAGGAUGUUUUCAUUAAUCAAGAACGAAAGUUAGGGGAUCGAAGACGAUCAGAUACCGUCGUAGUCUUAACCAUAAACUAUGCCGACUAGGGAUCGGAUGAUGUUAAUUUUUUAAUGACUC